CUCCCUUUCAAUUAUUAGAAACUCUGUUCUGUGCACAUGGCAGUCAGCAACGAUAAAGUUUGAGAAGACAAAUGUUUAAAUUUCUUCUUUUCAUUUACAUGUUUGUCCUGGCUUUGCUUUGCCUCAACUGUUGUAAUUUGCUAAAUCUAUAAUAUACAUGAAUAUAUACAUAAUAUAAUUUUUUUUUAAAAACGACCAUCAUAGGAACACAUUUUUUAUUUUCAAUGUUUAGUUCAAUGGUGUAUGUCCCAGUAAAGUGACAGUUUCCCUUUAAAUGAGAGUGAAUAUGCGGAUUAGGACUGGUAAAUCUCAAAUAAUGUGUACUGUCUAUUCAAUCAGAAAAUUAAACAGGUUUAAAGGGCUAGGUCAGGGAAAGGGUGGGGAUAAACUCUAUUAUGCAAUGCAUUCAAGAAAUCCAAGAGAGGUUUAAUACUAUGACUUUGACACAUUUUCUAUACUGCUUUGAAGAAUUUAAAAUGAGCAUUUUAGUUGCUAUGAUUUUUCCAUUUCAGAAAUAGACAUUAGAGGAUAACGGUCUAUUUACUAAUCCAGCUUCUUUGAUCAUAGUGUAUCCAUGAAAUCUAUCCUUUGGGCGUAGGGUUGUCUAAACUAAACCAAAUCAAGCACUACCAUACAUGAAGAAUGUUCUGGAGAUUUGUAAUUUUAAUUUGAACGAUAUAUUGGAUCUCAUAUCAUAAAACAAAAGUGACAACCAAUGUUUGAGUUAGCGCUAAGAUGAUGAAAGCUAGACGUAGUUAAUUACUGAAGUGUGCAUUUGCAGAAAUUCUAAAUUAAUUCCACAUUUAAGGCCAAAAUAGUCAACCAGGCAAGAACCACAACUAAAUUGUAAAAACUGUUGUUUUCUGAUGCAAUUAUGUUUAAUUAUGAAGUGACAUAAUACAAAACUGCACUGGGCAUGGGUUUCCACCAUUCCCUGAUAUUCAACUCACAUGUGUUCAACAGUACCACAAAGCAUCACCAUAAGAAAUUUCAGGGGGGCAUAGGCUCCUGAGCUUUAUCCACAUAAUCCCUCAAAAUUACUGCUUUUAGCCCUUUCCAGAUGUCUAAUCUGCACCCGGAUAUUCCUGGGCAUCUCUCUGUACAAGAGGCAAUUCUUGACUUGCCGAUAGCUCAAGCCGGUGGACACCACUUGCGGCCUAGUCUGGGGCCUCAGCGGCCACCUGUGCAUACCUGACCUGGACUGGCCAAUCUAGUACAUAAAAGGAGGCCCAUACUCGCUCCCCAUGGUCCUCCAGUGGGGGUUACCCCAAACCCCACCAAGAUUGCACUGACCUCUGUAUUGCUCUUGGGCGAAUACAGGACAGGCAUAGACCAAAAUCGCUGACGACAACGCAGCUAUACAGCACAAUGUACAGGUAUCUGUCAUCAGCUGGGAAGCUGGCUUUCAAAGGGUGUUUGACUUUAUAUAUGUCAGCGGUUCUGGAGGACACUUUAGGAGAGGCAGAAUCAUCCUCCGCGGCCUACAACUGUGACACCAUUUCUGGGCAAUGCCGUGGCCCAAGGGCUCCCUUGGAGGAGGAGAACUAAGCGAAGGCUGUGCACCCGAGGGAAACAUCACUUCCCAAGAUAUCAAACCUCAUACCUGUCUAUGGAGGGUGAGGUCUGUAGCUUGGACCUGGAGGGAAACCUCAUACUUCAACAGUAUGCGGGACUCACCUCUAUCUCCCUGUACUCUGCCUGAAUACAAUAGGCAUCAGUUGAAUAGGCUGCUAUCCUAGGGUCUCUCGACAAGACAGUAUGUUUGGGUUGUAUCCCCUGAUUUGUUGCACAUGCUAUAGUGACUGCCCUGCUGCAGUUCGAUAUUUCCUUUAAUUGUCUCUUCUUUUGAGCCCCUUUACUUAUUGUACCUGUACAACAAUACUUGGUAGCUUUAGCCUCGUGCGUCGCUCUGUUUGAUUUGGUUUUUCUUUCAUUACUUCUUUUAUUAUUAUUUAAUUGCAUAUCUAAUAUCUAUUUUAUACUUGACUGCAAUGUUGUGUCUGAUGCUUAGAUGUGUUCACUUAACGUGUUUUUAUUUGUAAAAAUUUUUUAGACAUUUCAAGGAGGAAUAUAUAUUAUUGAUGCUUUCUUGACAUGUGUUUGUCUGAUAUAGCUGCUUUUUUUCUUUUCUGUACUAUACUAUGCAAUGUCUCAAUAAAAGAAAGUUUGCUAAAAAUAAAUUUAAAAAAAUCUCAGAAUUAAUGUGUGGAUAAUCACAGUACUUUUGUUUUAUAAAUAAAAGUUAGUGUUUAAAAAAAGCGAAACAAUAAAACACCAAAACACGCGCGCACACGUUUUCUCUCAAUCUUUGGCUUCUUUAAAUUACUUAAUCGCAAUAUCAUGGGGUAUGUCCCCGCAAACAAAAUCUUCUUGAACUGUUAGAAAACAAUUUACUGUUAAAGCAGCUCUGACAACACAGUGACAUUUAUAAAUAUUUAAUAAAGAUAUGAUCUUCAUAAAAUACUCAUAUGUCCUGUAUUGGAAUUUCAAUUAAAUUUCCAGUAACAAUAUAUAAUAACGGAAAAUGGUGAACACAGAUAAAUUAAUAGACGCUCACUAUAAUAUUGAGCAGAGGCUGCAAAGCAGGCAGCAGUAAACCGUACAAGGAUUCCCAGACCUUGAUGAUACAUACAAUUCAAAAAGAGAGUAAACCGCGCCCAGGAUAUAUGUACAAAUGGUUAUACGUACAUAGGUGUCCUUAUGUUAAAUACAAUGGACGUAAAAAAAAAACCCCCAAAGAUAACAAAAUAAUAGUGCAAUACAGUAGGUAUAGAGUAUAUGUGGUGGAUAAAUAUGUGUCACUACCACUCAUAUUCUUAUGAGCUACUUCAGAGCUCUGCUGCUUUUCACAUGGACGGAACAAUCCCCGUCUAAGGAUAUAUGAUGAUAAGGUCACCAUGAGUACUUCGAAUAAGGUGCCAUGUGCAGGGCAUAUGUGAAAGCAAAUGCAGAAGAGAACUCCAAUGGUGAAGUAGAUACAGGUAGAUGUGUCAAAUUAGUAAGUAAAAAUUUAUACUCACAUUUACUAGAGCAGGACUUGCUCUAGUGUGAACAGCAUGGGUGGUAUAAUCCCCACCUAAGGAUAUGUUGGUACCAGGAAGCAGUUGAUGGAUGCAAAAGAAAGUUAUAUAUCAAAAUAGAUAAACUUUAAUUUGACACAAAAAAAAAAUAAAAAAA
rnacentral:lncRNA from 1 species